CACACACACACACACACACACAUUAACAUUCCUGGCAUACAAGUCACAUAGUCUGUAUGUGUGUGUGAGUGUGUGUGUGUGUGUGUGUUUGUGUGUGAGCACUAACACAGUGUUCACAGAGACGUGUUCUAGAGUAUGCGGUUGUUCUAGAGUGGACGCGAUGUCCGAUACCUCACUCUGUGUGCUGAUGUAGAAGGCUGUAGAGCCGCUGAGACUCUUGCUGGAUUCUACAGUUUCAUUUCGGCUAGUUCUCAGGAACACGAAUAUGCUAACACUCCCUGCUCACCCCACUGCAUUAUGCUAAUCCUGCUAAUCCGGAUAUUUCUUCAUUUUUACACACGAUGAUCACAUCACGUGAACUUUAACUCUCUCUAAUGAUCUCUAAUGUUAAAAAGUGAAGUGAUUAGUCACGUGCAGGAACUACAUGAGAAAAAAACACCAGAAUCUUCACAUGCUUAGAAACAAACACCAAACACCAGACAAACACCAAACACCGGACAAACACCAAACGCAGGACAAACACCAAACGCCGGACAAACACCAAACGCCGGACAAACACCAAACGCUGGACAAACACCAAACACCGGACAAACACCAAACACUGGACAAACACCAAGCACUGGACAAACACCAAACAGCGGACAAACACCAAAAACCGGACAAACACCAAACGCCGGACAAACACCAAACACCGGACAAACACCAAAGAAACACCGAACAAACACUGGACAAACACCAAACGCCGGACAAACACCAAACACCGGACAAACACCAAACACCGGACAAACACCAAACACUGGACAAACACCGGACAAACACCAAACGCCGGACAAACACCAAACACCGGACAAACACCAAACGCCAGACAAACACCAAACACAAAAAAACGGACAAACACCGGACAAACACUAAAGAAACACCGAACAAACACUGGACAAACACCAAACGCCGGACAAACACCAAAAACCGGACAAACACUGGACAAACACCAAACAGUGGACAAACACCGGACAAACACCAAAAACCGGACAAACACCGGACAAACACUGGACAAACACCAAAAACCGGACAAACACCGGACAAACACCAAAAAACGGAUAAACACCUGUUGGUGAACAAAGUUAUAGAUAAUAUUUUAGAAGAAAUAAAACACAUUCACUAAAAUCUACACAACACUUCAUACAGAGAAAGUGAGGAAUCAGAAAAGAUCAUUUCUUAUCAUUUAUAUUAAAUUUCAGUUGAUUAGGAACAGAUUUAUUUUUAUAUUUUAUUAAAGUUAGCUGUAAAGUGUCUCUCUGUGUCAGAGUUAAAGAACAAAUCAACACACACUCAAAUACUGAGAAUAAUAUCUGACUAAUAUCUGAAGAGUUUCAUGAACAGGAUCCAGUUGUUUUUAUAUUCCACUCAGUAUUACAGGUGAGGUUCUGGAUGUUUAUUGAAGCCCUGGACAACAGUGUGGUCAGAGCGCAGGAUAUUUUCUGACAAGUUCUGAGUUUAUCAGGGUUCAUCUGACAACAAAUCAGAUCAUUACUGCAAAAAAAAAACACAGCUGAGAGUACCUGGACCUGAGAGUAUUAGGACCUGAGAGUACCUGGACCUGAGAGUACCUGGACCUGAGAGUACCUGGACCUGAGAGUAUUAGGACCUGAGCGUACCUGGACCUGAGAGUAUUAGGACCUGAGAGUACCUGGACCUGAGAGUAUUAGGACCUGAGCGUACCUGGACCUGAGAGUAUUAGGACCUGAGAGUACCUGGACCUGAGAGUACCUGGACCUGAGAGUACCUGGACCUGACAGCACCUGGACCUGAGAGUAUUAGGACCUGAGAGUACCUGGACCUGAGAGCACCUGUCUGUGUGCAUGUGUGUGUGCAUGUGUGUGUGUGCGUCUGUGUGUGUGUGCGUGUGAAUGUGUGUGCAUGUGUAUGUGUGCGUCUGUGUGUGUGUGCGUGUGAAUGUGUGUGCAUGUGUAGGUGUGUGUGUGUGUGUGGAAUCUGUCACACCAUGAUGACAGUGAUGGCAGAUGAAGAGAACCGAAUGUGAGAUAAGAAUGGCCCUCAGAGAAUGUGUGUGUGUGUGUGUGUGUGAGAGAGAGAGAGAGAGAGAGAGAGAGAAGAUUUGGAGUAAUCCUUUAAGCCCUGAAUGAGAGUCUCUCUCCUACACACACACACUGAAGUCAGAGAGAUGAGUGUGUGUGUGCAUGUGUGUGUGUGAAAGGGAACAAUAUAGUUCACAUUUUGUGAGCAAACCUGCUUCACACAUGCACACACGCACGCACGCACGCACACGCACACACACACACACGCACACACACACGCGCACGCACGCACACGCACACACACACACGCACACACACACACACAUACACACACACACGUGUGAUCUAUAGUCAAUAUUGGUUUAUUGUUUCUGUGCGAGCUGACAUAUUAACAUUUCAUCUUUCUGGGUGUAACAACAGCUCCAAGCACACACACACACACGCACGCACGCACACACACACACGCGCACACACACACACGCGCGCACACACACACACACGCGCACACACACACAGCUUGAGUAACCAGGAGGAAACAUUUUGAUUAUUUUAAAUUGAAUCUAUUAAAUGAAAACUGUGUGUCCUGAUCUACAGUGCUGUGAAAACGAUUUUUUAUUUUCUUGCAUAUUUGUCACUCUUAAAUGAUUCAGAUCAUCAAGAUAAAAUGCAGUUUUUAAUGAUAAUUUCAUUUGUCAGGGGGAAAAAAAGCUGUCCAAACCUACCUGACCCUAUGUGAAAGAGUCAUUUAUUUAUUUAUGUGUUAUUUACCAGGUGGAUUACAGUCUAUAAGAAGUCUAUGACUUUUCUAUUAAAAUAUAUAAAAUAUCAUUUCACUACUAAAAUCUAGCCAUGGGGUCACAGUCCAGUGACUUCUGUGCCGGUCUCAAGCCUGGAUAAACAGAGAGGGCUGCGUCAGGAAGAGCAUCCGCCGUAAAACAUUGCCAAAUUUAAUCAUGAGAAUCGUCAGUACUAUGAAUGUAAUACCGGAUCGGUCGAGGCCCGGGUUAACAACGACCGCCAUCAGUGGCAUUAACCUACAGGGCCUGAAGUUAGAGAUUGAGGGCCCACCCAGACACAUGGCUGGCCUACCUAUCUAAGAGGGAAAGUGAGAGGAAAAAUGCCUUCUUAUCACACGUAGAUACACUAUAUUGCCAAAAGUUUUGGGACACCUCUCCAAAUCACUGAAUUCAGGUGUUGUUUUUCAGGGGUUGGGCUUGAGUUUGGUGUGGAGGAACUUGAGUCCUGACCUCAACCUGAUAGAACACCUUUGGGAUGAAUUAGAGUGAAGACUGCGAGCCAGACCUUCUCGUCUGACUAAAAAAACUGACAAAAAACUCACCACUGUUGCCAAGUCCACAUAUAAUAUGUGACUUUUGGCCGUUGCGUGAAAAAAUCCUGGGUCGCAGGUUGCGGUUUUUUGGGCUUAUUUUAAAAAAUAUGGUUGCUUGUUAGGAAAAUCUGACAAGCAACUUCGUUUCUUUACAUUUAUGGUUGCCGUUUCCUCCAGUUCUUUGACUGACACUUAGUCUGUUCUCAGUUAUUAGCUAAUCAGUGCAAUAAUAUAAAUGCUGUAGCCUAAUGCGUCAAACAUUCCACCCCCACCCCCUCCUCCUCCUCCUCAAAGGAGUAAAAUCACGUUCAACGUGAAGGCGUGUGACGCUGUAAUCCCGAGCGAGUAGUUGAUGUAAGAAACAUGUAAAUUUCCACAAACAUGCCGCCAACAAAGUGGUCCAAGUAUGGCUAAAAAGUACAACAAAGACUGGGAAAGGGAUACACAACUUAAAGACUGGAUAGGUCAAGUGGUCAGUGAUGAAAGUAAAGCGAUGUGCAGGUACUGUGAGAAGGAGACUCGCGCUCACCAUGGAGAUCUCCUACAACAUGCAAGCACAGACAAGCACAAGAGAAAUUCCAAGCCAUCUUCGUCAACAAGUCUAACAGACAUGGGUUUUACAGUGUCAAAAUCUUCCACUGUAAAUCAAAAGGCUGAGCUUCAGCUAGCAUGUUAUGUCGCUUGUCACACAGCGGUCAGUUCACUUGAUCACUCGGGUGAACCGGUGAACUCGGCCUUUGUAAAGGAUUUGAGCAUUCAUUGUACAAAAUGUAGAGCACUUAUCAACAACGUCAUAGCUCCAUGCAUGUUCAAAGACUUGUUAAAAGAUAUCGGAGAGACUCAGUGUUCACUGGAGAUUGAUGAGAGCACAGACGAUGCUACGGUAAAGCAGCUGUGUGUAGUAGUGCGUAAUUUCACUGUCUCAUUGAACAACAUUGUAAACAUUUUUGGGCUUAGUGGAUAUGCAGGGAGAGACAGCAGAGGUAGAAGCAUGGUGACAACACUGACGGAGUUUCUUGACAAUAUUGGUCUUGAUUUCAAGAAGUAUGUCUUCAUCGGAACUGAUUGUCAUUGUUGGACAGAAAAACUCUGUUUACACUCACCUUCUCAAAAAGAAUGAGAAACUGCAACUGUUUAAGUGCGUGUGUCUUUCAGUUCAACUUUGUACCAGCAGAGGUGUCGAAACACUGCCUCGCAAUCUCGAGUUUUUAAUUUCACAUUGCCAAAAUGUACUACUUAAUCAACCCCGGUGAAACACCACUGAUGCUAGUGCAGCUUUCAGGCACUAGAUGUGACUGCUGUGUUCGUGUACUAGAGCAAUGGGAUGAACUGAAGUUACAUUUUCAGCUGAGAUGCAGAAUAAGUUCCCAGCAAAUAUCAAUACCUGGAAAUCCAUGACAUCCUUCAGCCCACCAGUGAUUCUAUCACAGAACAAACCACAGUUAGCCACAGAGCAGGUCGAUUUUUCAUUUUACAAUGUUUUUGUAAUGUAUUAAUAAUCAUGGACUAUAAUAAAAACACCCUAAUACUAGGUCUAUACUAAUACUUAACAGUAGAUACCAAUCUAGCCAAUCACUAACGUGACGUCACUGACACGCGACACUGCCCCCUAAUCUACAUAAAACUUUACAUGUGAUUUUUGGAAUAACAAACUAGCAACCUGGAAAGAACAAACAUCCGAGUAAAGAAAGCACGGAAAAUAAAAGUUUAUUAUUAAUUGUUAGCGUUUCGAGUGUUUUUUUAUUUGUUUUAUUUUUUAAAUUGUGUUUUCAAUUCUGUGAUUCACGUGUAUUAUCAUCUUUAAGUGUAUUAUAUUUUUUUUUACAGGUAUGAUACUCAUGGCGCUAAUUUGAUACCAUCAUAAUCACCUGAUAAAUGACUAUUUACAGUCCUGCAUUAAUACCAGUUUGAUUUUCAAGUUUGUUUAUAUAUAUAUGUGUGUGUGUGUGUGUGUGUGUACAUUAUCGAUCACUGAUCAAUGUUCAUGCAUAAAGCAGCGAACAUCCAAUCACAGAGCUGUAUAGAGUGGGCCUUCGCGGCUCUGUCCAAUCAGAUCACAGCCCUGUGCAGUUUGGCGAUGAUGUCAGCAGUGAGGAUGAGGAGCACGUUUCAGUCCUUCAUUCAUUCAGGGGAAGUCUUGUGUCUUCUUAGCUCUAUGAGAAGGUGCUUCGAAGGCAGAAAGCAGAAGAACCCAAGUGGCUGAUGAAACUUCUCCAGCUGCUGCCAGACAAUACAGAACAUUGUAGCCCUUCUGAUGAACAGAAAGAGUCCAGCUUUUGUCUGAGCAACAUCUGGUGUUCCACCCUUCAGUUCACAGAAAGCUGCUGGGGGAUGGAAGCUACGUCUCGGUCUACGCUGGAAUCCGUAAGGCAGAUAAACGAAUGAAUGAUGAUUCAUCAUUGUCCAGUGGCCUGUGGUUCUGUCCUGAACCUGAUGGUCUGUCCUCCAGAUGUUGAAUCACCAUUGGCCUGUGGUUCUGUCCUGGUGAACCUGAUGGUCUGUCCUCCAGAUGUUGAAUCACCAUUGGCCUGUGGUUCUGUCCUGGUGAACCUGAUGGUCUGUCCUCCAGAUGUUGAAUCACCAUUGGCCUGUGGUUCUGUCCUGGUGAACAUGAUUGUCUGCUCUCCAGAUGAUGAUUCAUGAGUGGCCUUUGGUUCUGUCCUGGUGAACCUGAUGGUCAGCCCUCCAGAUGAUGAUUCAUCAGUGUCCAUUGGUCUGUGGUUCUGUCCUGGUGAGCGUGAUGGUCUGCUCUCCAGAUGUAGACGGAUGAAGUUCAUCACUCAGGCAAAACCAAAGCCCAUUACUCUCCUCAUCACCUGUACAGACUGUUCAUUUAGAUUUGAUCUGAGGAGAUUUUGUGAUAUUUGAGUUUCAGUAUAGUUUGUAAACUCAUCACCUUUACAUUUAGAUUUUAUUUGAUAAGAUUUUAUCAGUGCUAUAGUUAUGAGUGCAGUCAUGAAUGUUAAGGUUUUUUUUAACUAUAAAACAUCACUGGCAAGUACAUAGACUAAACAUUAUGUAUUAUGAAAAGUGAUGUCUAUAAUAUUUAGAUUAUUAUUAUUACACCUGACAUCACAUGUAUAUAGAUGCACAUUGGAUAUUGAGUUCUUUGAAGUCAGAACUACUAAAAGUUUAGCUCAAAAUUGUUGAGAAUAAUCAAAAUGAUUCUAAUAUGUAAGUUCAUUCCUACCGUUCCUAUCCUAUCACGCCUCAGCUAGCGUACUUCACAUCACUUAUUCUGCCUCACCUUACCUGCAUCACCCAGCCUGCCCCACUCAGCCCAGCUCACACAGCUUGCCCAUAUGGCUAACCCCCCCUGACCUGCCCUGUUCUGCCUGUCCACGUAGUCGGCCCUGGCCCUGCCUGGCCCGUCCAGACUGCCCCGUCUGCCUACCUAGCCUGGCGGCCUCUGCUCACCGCUCACCAGACCUGCGCAUGCUAGUUAUCCCUGCUAGAUAGAUAUUUGUACAGGUGGGGUGUAGAUAGGUAGGUAUUUGUGUAGGUGGGGUGUAGAUAGGUAGGUAUUUGUGUAGGUGGGGUGUAGAUAGGUAGGUAUUUGUGUAGGUGGGGUGUAGGUAGGUAGAUUUUUGUGUAGGCGGGGUGUAGAUAGGUAGAUAUUUGUGUAGGUGGGGUGUAGAUAGGUAGAUAUUUGUGUAGGUGGGGUGUAGAUAGGUAGAUAUUUGUGUAGGUGGGGUGUAGGUAGGUAGAUUUUUGUGUAGGUGGGGUGUAGAUAGGUAGGUAUUUGUG